AGCAUAGCCUAUCCACGAGUGUGCUUCUGUUGGAGGUGCUCCCACAAGCAGCUGAUAGACCUGUUCAGAGAGAAUGUGGAAGACUGCGUAGCCAUCAGCAGCCCAGGCCAUCCCGGCCAGCCCCUCAUACAGGUUAACACAAAGACGCAGGAUGGAGUUGAUUGAUACAUUCCUGAGUAUGGUUGCUAGCUAGGUGGAAGAUGUUCAACUCCUCUUUUUUCAACAUGGAGUCCUUCCUGUCCUCCAUUUCGUCCUUCAUGAAGAUGAUUCCGGACCACAGGCCCUAAGACCUGGACAAGCUCAUCUGCCCAAAGGGCCGGGUCCUCCACUUCCCCAUCCAAUCCCCCCAUGUCACAAGAGUGAAGAAAAAGCAGCCAACGAGUGAUCAGCAUAUGUGGGAACUCCUUCAACACUGUUAGAAAAGCAUUCCAAGUGAAGCUGGUUGAGAGAAUGUCAAGAGUGUGCACAUCUGUCAUCAAGGCAGAAGGUGGCUACUUUGAAGAAUCUAAAUAAUAAAUCUAUGUUGAUCUGUUUAAUACUUUUUUGGUUUUCUACAUGACUCCAUAUGUGUUAUUUCAUAGUUUUGAUGUUUUCUCUAUUAUUCUAUAAUGUAGAAAAUAGUAAAAAUAAAGAAUAACCCUUGAA